UUCCAGAAUUGUGUCAUGUAUCCACCGAAACAUAAAGAGGGUGUAUAAAUACAAAACAAAAUCUGGUACACCUAAAUGUGUUCUAUCGUUACAGAUACUAUUAUGCUCAAACGCUUGCAUCUGCUCCAUUUGAACUCUACAUUC